AACGAACGCUGGCGGCAUGCCUAACACAUGCAAGUCGAACGAGACCUUCGGGUCUAGUGGCGCACGGGUGCGUAACGCGUGGGAACCUGCCCUUAGGUUCGGAAUAACUCCCCGAAAGGGGUGCUAAUACCGGAUAAUGUCUUCGGACCAAAGAUUUAUCGCCUUUGGAUGGGCCCGCGUUGGAUUAGCUAGUUGGUAGGGUAAAAGCCUACCAAGGCGACGAUCCCUAGCUGGUCUGAGAGGAUGAUCAGCCACACUGGGACUGAGACACGGCCCAGACUCCUACGGGAGGCAGCAGUGGGGAAUAUUGGACAAUGGGCGAAAGCCUGAUCCAGCAAUGCCGCGUGAGUGAUGAAGGCCUUAGGGUUGUAAAGCUCUUUUACCCGGGAUGAUAAUGACAGUACCGGGAGAAUAAGCUCCGGCUAAAUCCGUG
rnacentral:rRNA from 1 species